rnacentral:lncRNA from 1 species
AUAGAUGAUUGAUUGAACUGAAAAGAACAAAAAUUACAGAUAUGAAAAAUGAUUACGGGACUCCUUUUCUCACUCAGUAAUUGCCUGCCUAUUAUGCUUCCUUACGUUCUUAUUUAUAGCCCACUCCUAACUACUUCACCCUUUGCCAUUUGCUGCCUAACAGAAUUCUAUUUCUACUGCCCACCUCCCCCCUUGAGUCUUCUAGAAUAUGUAAACCGUAUUUGGGGUUUAUUAAUACCCCAGGGUCCAAAGACACCUUGUCCUCAAGGUGGAAGUUAAGAAAUUGUUGGCGUAUUAUUUCUGCUGACUCCCAGGUAGCUUCUGAUGGAGGCAAAUCUUUCCAUUGUAUAAGUACUUCCUUGCUUAGACCCUGCCCUGCUGUUGAACUCCUAACCCCCACGACUUGUUUAGGUUCAACCAUCCACUCCAGGUGCUCGGUUAGGUGAGGAGGAAGUAGUUAACUUACUUCGUUUGACCCCAGUGCUUUCUUCAGCUGAGAUAUAAGGAAGACAGGAUGUAUGGUUGCAGCAGGGGGUAGUUGUAAAUGAUAGGCGACCGGCCCCACUCGCUUUAUAAUCUCAAACGGUCCAAAGUACUUAGGCCCCAGCUUUUCGUUCUGCUUUCUCGCCAAUGAACGGAGGCGGUACGGUCGUAGCUUAACAUACACCAAAUCCCCUACUUCAAAAUGUAAGUCCCUUCGAUGUUUGUCAGCCUUUGUUUUCAUUUUGUUCUGAGCUUUUGGGAGAUGUGCUUUAAGUUCGUCUAGCAUGCUGUCCCGGUCCCUUAGUUGCUGCUCCACAGAAUCCACUGUUGUCUUCCUGCUGCCAUAGCGGAUCAACGGUGGUGGUUCUCUCCCAUAGACCGCCUUGAACGGGGUAGUGUUGGUGGAUGCGUGGAAAGUGGUAUUAUACCAAUAUUCCGCCCAAGGUAGCCAAGUGGACCAGGUUUUGGGCUUAUCAUAUGAGAAACAUCUCAGAUAGGCCUCCACGCAUCUAUUCACCACUUCGGUUUGCUCGUUGGUUUGGGGGUGGUAAGUCGUACUUCGCCUGAGGUAAGUCCCCUGCAGUUUGAAUAGUUCCGUCCAAAAUUGACAUAAGAAUAUUUUGUCCCGAUCAGAUAGGAUAGAGCAGGGAAUUCCAUGGAGUCGCACUACCUCCUUGACGAAAACUGCUGCAACACUAAAUGUUGUGAAUGGAUGUCUCAGUGGUAAGAAGUGCGCAUAUUUACUUAAGCGGUCAACAAUCACCAGGAUGGAGUUAAACCCAUUUGACUUAGGAAGUCCCUCCACAAAGUCCAUGGAAAUAUCCUCCCAUAUCAGAUUGGGGAUGGGAAGAGGCUGCAAGAGCCCGGCUGGAGAGAGCGCCCUAGUCUUAUUUUGCUAGCACACAGGGCAUUCUUCCACAAACUUCCGGACAUCCUUCCCCAUCCCUGUCCAAUAUAGAUCGCUAGUCAGCCUCUUGUAAGUCCUUAAGAAUCCUGAGUGUCCCCCUACAGCACUAUUGUGGAACUCCAGUAGUAUCUUAGGAAUUAAUGGUGAUGUGUGGGGAAGUACCAAUCUCCCUUUAUACAACAAUUUUCCUUGUUCAACAGAAUACCGGGGGUGUGCUUCCGGGUUGUCCUGCAGCUCUUUCUUAAUUUUAGACAACAGUGGGUCACCUUCGACGUGCGCCUCAAUCAUCUGUACAUCCAAUGUUUGUGGAAAGGUGAGAGCUUUUAACUCAACUGUGCCGGAAAUUCGGGACAAUGCAUCUGCUGCCGUGUUCUCAAUCCUAGGGCGAUAUUGAAUUUCGAAUUCAUAUCCCAUCAGCUUGGUUAUCCAGCAUUAGAACUCCCCAGGUACUGUCCUUUGCUCAAGGAGAUAUUUGAGGCUACGUUGAUUAGUGCGGACGAUAAAUUUCCUUCCCAGAACAUAGUGCCUCCACUUCUGUAUAGACAGUACAAUUGCCAUUAAUUCCUUCUCGUAAAUGGAUUUCUGUUGGGAUCGACUGGAUAGAACCUGGCUAAAAAAUGCAAUGGGUCGUCGAUUCUGCAUAAGAACCACCCCCAGUCCAUACCCCGAAGCAUCGGUCUCAAUAACGAACGGCUGUGAGAAAUCCGGAAGGGCUAAGACUGGGACUGUAGUCAUGGCCCUUUUUAGAUUCAGGAAAGCUGCCUCUGCCUCAUUAUUCCACCCAAAGGCGUCCUUCUUCAACUGAUCAGUGAGGGGUCGUGCAAUGGUUCCAUAUCCUGCCACAAACCUCCUAUAGUAGCCAGUCAAUCCUAAAAAACCUCGUAAUUCCCGGAGAUUACGAGGAACAGGCCAAUUACUCAUUUCUGCAAUUUUGUCUGGGUCGGCUUUCACACCUUCUGCUGAAACAAGGUGCCCCAGAUACUCUAUUUGUUGUUGGGCAAAGAGGCAUUUCCUUUCAUUGGCAUAUAGUUUGUUUUUUCCCAAGGUUGAGAAGACAAGGUCCAGGUGUCGUUCAUGUGCCGGUAGGUCUUUACUGUACACCAAAAUGUCGUCAAAAAACACAAGUACAAACUUCCUUAAGAAAUUUCGGAAUACCUGAUUCAUCAAUGAUUGAAAAGUUGCCGGGGGCAUUAGUAAGGCCGAACGGCAUUACUAAGAACUCGUAAUGACCUUCGUGGGUCCUGAAUGUAGUUUUUGGCACAUCCUCUUUCCUUACUCCGAUAUGAUGAAACCCAGACUUUAGGUCCAAUUUUGAGAAUACCGUUGCCCCAUGAAGCUCGUCUAGUAACUCAUCGAUCACUGGAAUGGGAAACCUAUCCGGUAUUGUUGCUUUGUUCAGAGCCCGGUAGUCCACACAAAAACGCCAGCUACCGUCUUUCUUUUUUACUAGUAACACAGGGCUUGAAAAUGGGCUGAUGCUAGGUUGAAUUAUCCUUGCAGCCAGCAUCUCCUUGACCAACCUCUCGAUCUCGUUCUUCUGGAAGUGUGGGUGUCUGAAAGGCCUUACACUGAUUGGAUCGGUCCCAGCCUUCAAAGUAAUAGCAUGGUCCAAGCCCCGGGCAGGAGGUAGCCUUCUUGUUUCUGUGAACACCUGCUUAUGUAGUCGUAUUAAUUUGAACACCCCUUCAGGUAUUUCUUCCUCUUUGCCCAUUAAAGCUCCACAUUCUGCAGGUUGCUCCAUUUCUACCCACAGUCCUUAACCCUCGUUCAAUAGGGCCUUUACCAUUGCUCUCAGGGACACGGCAGAUUUAUUCAAUCCUUGGUCUCCUCUCAGUGUCAUCCAAGUUUCCCCCAUCCGAAACUUCAUGGUUAGCAAUUUCCAAUUCACCUCCAUGAAACCCAAACUCCCAAGCCACUGCAUUCCCAAUACUGCGUCGGUGCUGCCUAACUCUAAGGGCAAGAAAUCUUCCACAAUGGUUAGCCCUUGCAAUUUCAACACUAUUCCCUUGCAAAUUCCCCGUCCAGUAACCGAUUCCCAUAUCCCCAUGAUGACCCCGUAGUGGUUUGUAGCCGUAGUCGGCAAACUUAACCUCCGUACCACCUCCUACGAGAUAAAAUUGUGGGUUGCCCCAUAGUCGAUGAGCACAACCACGUCAGUGGGCCUAACUGUCCCCUUGGGCUUUAUGGUUCUGGGAGUAGUCAGCCUAACCUCUGAGUUAAGGGAUAAUUCGAUUUUCUCACCCAUUUCCAGUGGAAUUUCCUCCGCCCGACCCCAUCGCCUUCCUGGACCAGUAAUACCCGCAAUUCUUUGUUCUUACAUUGGUGGCCCACCGUGUAUCGUUCUUCAUAGCAGAAGCAGAAGCAGAAGCACAAGCCUUUAUCUCUUCUCAAUUUUCACUCCGCGUCGGACAUCCUCUUGAUCGGACCUUCUCUUCGCUGGAUCGAUCCUUUCUCAGCUACUGUGAUAGUCUUGGUCGGGAAGGUCUCCAGUUUAGCUAGGUUGGAAUGAGUUUUAAAACCCCUCCGGGCUGUUGUUUCUUUAAACCUGUGGAGAAUAGCAUUCCUGUCUUCCACCUUUUGGGCUGUCUCCAUGAUUUGGCCCAACCCCUUUGGACCCAAUAAUCUAACCUCUGCUUUGAUAUCCGGUUUGAGUCCAUUUAAGAAUGUACUCUCCAUUACUUCAUCCGGUAUUCCAGCCAGAGGAGCAGCUAACAAUUCGAACUCUCGCCGGUAAUCUGCCACCGUUCCUCCUUGGUUGAUGGCCAAAAUUUUUUCGCACAGGCUACUUUCUUGUGUCGGCCGAAAGCGCAGUAGGAGUUGCUGUCGAAAUUGCUGCCAACUCCGAAAUGGUUCCCUCGUUUCGGCCCACCUCAGCCACAACAACGCAUCUCCAUCCAGACUAACCCCUAUCACCCUCAUCUUCUCCUUCUCCGUUAAUUCAUUUACCUCAAAAUAUCUUUCCGCUCGGAAAAGCCACCCGUCUGGGUUAUCUCCACUGAAAAUGGGCAUCUCCAAUUUCCUCACCUGCCGCCAAUUACCUCCUUCUUCAUUCAGGUCGUGUAACAUGGUUACUCUCCCCACGCUGGCCUCUCCUAGUCCUUCCGGCCAUUUUUCCUUGCUCAACGUGUGUUGGGUGUUCUCCGUUCUUUGAUGGUCAUGGAUUGGGAUUGGUCCUUCCGUGAUGAUACCACCUCUCUCAUUGUUACUGUUUAGUGCCCCCUUUGAGAUAGAGAGGACCGCCACUGACUUCCUAGUCUCCUCUACUGCUAACAUCAUUUUGGUCAUGUGCUGGGUAAACUGUUCCACUGAUUUUUCUAACCCCAGUAGGCGUUGCAAUUCCGUUUUGAUAUCCUCCACCUCCUUCUCCAUUGAAUCAAUCCUACCCUCAGUUUUUUUUUGAGCCAUAGGAACGAACGUGCUCUAAUACCAAUUUGAUAAGACUCUAAAUGGAAAACGAAACUAAACUUGAAAUAGAUGAUUGAUUGAACUGAAAAGAACAAAAAUUACAGAUAUGAAAAAUGAUUAUGGGACUCCUUUUCUCACUCAGUAAUUGCCUGCCUAUUAUGCUUCCUUACGUUCUUAUUUAUAGCCCACUCCUAACUACUUCACCCUUUGCCAUUUGCUGCCUAACAGAAUUCUGUUUCUACUGUCCACCUCCCCCCUUGAGUCUUCUAGAAUAUGUAAACCGUAUUUGGGGUUUAUCA